UACGGAGGGUGCGAGCGUUAAUCGGAAUUACUGGGCGUAAAGCGCACGUAGGCGGUCAGGCAAGUCGGGUGUGAAAGCCCUGGGCUCAACCUGGGAAUUGCAUUCGAAACUAUCUGACUAGAGUAUGGGAGAGGGAAGCGGAAUUUCCGGUGUAGCGGUGAAAUGCGUAGAUAUCGGAAGGAACACCAGUGGCGAAGGCGGCUUCCUGGACUAAUACUGACGCUGAGGUGCGAAAGCGUGGGGAGCAAACAGG
rnacentral:rRNA from 2 species